GAUGAACGCUGGCGGCGUGCCUAAUACAUGCAAGUCGAGCGAACGGACGAGAAGCUUGCUUCUCUGAUGUUAGCGGCGGACGGGUGAGUAACACGUGGAUAACCUACCUAUAAGACUGGGAUAACUUCGGGAAACCGGAGCUAAUACCGGAUAAUAUUUUGAACCGCAUGGUUCAAAAGUGAAAGACGGUCUUGCUGUCACUUAUAGAUGGAUCCGCGCUGCAUUAGCUAGUUGGUAAGGUAACGGCUUACCAAGGCAACGAUGCAUAGCCGACCUGAGAGGGUGAUCGGCCACACUGGAACUGAGACACGGUCCAGACUCCUACGGGAGGCAGCAGUAGGGAAUCUUCCGCAAUGGGCGAAAGCCUGACGGAGCAACGCCGCGUGAGUGAUGAAGGUCUUCGGAUCGUAAAACUCUGUUAUUAGGGAAGAACAUAUGUGUAAGUAGAUGUGCACAUCUUGACGGUACCUAAUCAGAAAGCCACGGCUAACUACGUG
rnacentral:rRNA from 1 species